AUAUUAUUCGUUCCCUACACCGGCAACAUAAAGCGGUUGCUUAUCCAGGUGGAAAGCGAUAUUGCAGCCACAUAUUCCUUGCAGUUUCGUCUCAUUAAAAAUUAUGGCACCGCGUAUCUGUUUUAUGGCAUGCCUCGUAAUCGUAGCAGCAAGCAGCCAAAUGGUGGCUUCACUUCCAACGACGGAGUUGCCAAAAAAUUGCACAACAGAAGAUCAGACAGCGGCUGAACAGUGCCUACAAUCUUUCUACGCUCUGCUAAACAAGAACAGAGAAAAACUGCAAACACUCGAAGCAGGCUUCGCCACCGGUGACCCCAACAUGACCACUGCCGCCGCCGCAGUCGAGUUUGUAUGCGGACCGCUGGCUGGCGCGUUUACCUGUCUUGAACAGCUGCCGCGUCCAUGUUUUUCCCACUGGAUAUGACCAUGGAGCUUCAUUGGUUUCUGCACAACCCGCGAAUUACUGUAAAUACCAGCGACAUUUUCCGCCGAGUGUGCAGUGUUCCAGAUCUGAGCCAACACUUAAUCCGCAUUGUUAAAUGCAAAACAGCACUUCCCACUUUUAAAGCCGAUGGCGUUUUGGGUGAAAUUCAGCGUGCUAUUGGCCCAGCCCCUUUUCCCCAGACCCUGGAUAACUUUUUUGAUUGGCAAUGCCGAGCGAAUCACCAUUUAAUGGAAACUGUAACCCUGGAUCUGGUUGAAACCACGUGCGGUGCGGAUGCCGGUGUCACGUACACCACGCUCUUUCCCCUGGUGCGAGACGUGCUUUCGUGUUCCAGUAAUCGUACGGAAGCGGUCGCCUGAGUACAUAAGAAAGCCGUUACAUUUUUCCUCUAACUGUCUAACUGCAAGUUCUGGCAAUUCAGCCGAGAAAAUCAAAUUGAAUCUUUGAGGUCCUUUUAUCUUUGAGGUUGUACAACCAUUAACCAUCUGACAAGAAGAGAAUAAAAUAGGACUGUUC